CCUACGGGGGGCAGCAGUGGGGAAUAUUGGACAAUGGGGGCAACCCUGAUCCAGCCAUGCCGCGUGUGUGAAGAAGGCCCUCGGGUUGUAAAGCACUUUCAGUGAGGAAGAACGCCUGGUGGUUAAUACCCAUCAGGAAAGACAUCACUCACAGAAGAAGCACCGGCUAACUCCGUGCCAGCAGCCGCGGUAAUACGGAGGGUGCGAGCGUUACUCGGAAUUACUGGGCGUAAAGCGCGCGUAGGUGGCUUGAUAAGCCGGUUGUGAAAGCCCCGGGCUCAACCUGGGAACGGCAUCCGGAACUGUCAAGCUAGAGUGCAGGAGAGGAAGGUAGAAUUCCCGGUGUAGCGGUGAAAUGCGUAGAGAUCGGGAGGAAUACCAGUGGCGAAGGCGGCCUUCUGGACUGACACUGACACUGAGGUGCGAAAGCGUGGGUAGCAAACAGGAUUAGAUACCCGUGUAGUC
rnacentral:rRNA from 1 species